UGCUUACACAUGCAAGUCGAACGAGACCUUCGGGUCUAGUGGCGCACGGGUGCGUAACGCGUGGGAAUCUGCCCUUAGGUACGGAAUAACUCAGAGAAAUUUGUGCUAAUACCGUAUGAUGUCGAAAGACCAAAGAUUUAUCGCCUAAGGAUGAGCCCGCGUAAGAUUAGCUUGUUGGUGAGGUAAAAGCUCACCAAGGCGACGAUCUUUAGCUGGUCUGAGAGGAUGAUCAGCCACACUGGGACUGAGACACGGCCCAGACUCCUACGGGAGGCAGCAGUGGGGAAUAUUGGACAAUGGGCGAAAGCCUGAUCCAGCAAUGCCGCGUGAGUGAUGAAGGCCUUAGGGUUGUAAAGCUCUUUUACCAGGGAUGAUAAUGACAGUACCUGGAGAAUAAGCUCCGGCUAACUCCGUGCCAGCAGCCGCGGUAAUACGGAGGGAGCUAGCGUUGUUCGGAAUUACUGGGCGUAAAGAGUACGUAGGCGGUGAUUCAAGUCAGAGGUGAAAGCCUGGAGCUCAACUCCAGAACUGCCUUUGAAACUAGAUCGCUAGAAUUGUGGAGAGGUUAGUGGAAUUCCGAGUGUAGAGGUGAAAUUCGUAGAUAUUCGGAAGAACACCAGUGGCGAAGGCGACUAACUGGACACAUAUUGACGCUGAGGUACGAAAGCGUGGGGAGCAAACAGGAUUAGAUACCCUGGUAGUCCACGCCGUAAACGAUGAUAACUAGCUGUUCGGGGUCUACGAUCCUGAGUGGCGCAGCUAACGCAUUAAGUUAUCCGCCUGGGGAGUACGGUCGCAAGAUUAAAACUCAAAGGAAUUGACGGGGGCCUGCACAAGCGGUGGAGCAUGUGGUUUAAUUCGAAAGCACGCGCAGAACCUUACCAGCGUUUGACAUCCUAAUCGCGGUUUUCAGAGAUGAU
rnacentral:rRNA from 1 species